rnacentral:rRNA from 1 species
UUGCCUCUUGGUCUGGGACAACUGUUGGAAACGACAGCUAAUACCGGAUAUUAUGAGAUUCUCGCAUGGGAAACUUAUGAAAGCUAUAUGCGCCAAGAGAGAGCCUUGCGUUCCAUUAGCUAGUUGGUGGGGUAACGGCCCACCAAGGCGACGAUGGAUAGCCGGCCUGAGAGGGUGAACGGCCACAAGGGGACUGAGACACGGCCCUUACUCCUACGGGAGGCAGCAGUGGGGAAUAUUGGACAAUGGGCCACAAGCCUGAUCCAGCAAUUCUGUGUGCACGAUGAAGGUCUUCGGAUUGUAAAGUGCUUUCAGUUGGGAAGAAGAAAGUGACGGUACCAACAGAAGAAGCGACGGCUAAAUACGUGCCAGCAGCCGCGGUAAUACGUAUGUCGCAAGCGUUAUCCGGAUUUAUUGGGCGUAAAGCGCGUCUAGGCGGAAAAAUAAGUCUGAUGUUAAAAUGCGGGGCUCAACUCCGUAUUGCGUUGGAAACUGUUUUUCUAGAGUACUGGAGAGG